rnacentral:rRNA from 1 species
UACGUAGGGUGCGAGCGUUGUCCGGAAUUAUUGGGCGUAAAGGGCUCGUAGGCGGUCUGUCACGUCGAAAGUGAAAACUCAGGGCUUAACCCUGAGCCUGCUUCCGAUACGGGCAGACUAGAGGUAUGCAGGGGAGAAUGGAAUUCCUGGUGUAGCGGUGAAAUGCGCAGAUAUCAGGAAGAACACCCGUGGCGAAGGCGGCUCUCUGGAACGCAACUGACGCUGAGACGCGAAAGCGUGGGGAGCAAACAGG